GUAUUGCUUUAAUUAUUAUUUACUUAUAGCGCAAUCCAGAAGAAAUUUUCAAUGGGAAAACCCUUCUUAAAACCCCCUAUCUUAUCGAAAUGUUUAGGAUGUUCAGAUGAAGAAAAAAGAAGAAAAGAGAGUGUGACGUGACGAGAAAAAAAUACUCUGCCCUUUCUUAAAAGUUUUGGGAGAUAGACUUAUGGAUAACAGAAAAGAAAAUGAUGUUGAAGUGGUUUUUCAAAACUUGAUUAAAACAACGGAUUGUGCUGUGGAAUUAAAAAAGUUAAUUCGCAUACUUACUGCCCGAAUUAAGAAUUUGCAAGAUGACAUAUCGAAAGAACCGAAAAAUAUUGAACAGACACAUAAUUGCUUUUCGGAAAGAAUGGUGGAAACAGCAAAGCAUCUACACGAAGUCACAAGUCUUGCCACAGAAUUACAAAAUAACAUUCAAAAAUUGAACAUUGAGCUUUCAAUUAAACCAAUAUUCGAGAACAGAAAGGAAGACAAAUUAUUCAAGCAACAGACAGCGGAUUUGACAGUGCAGCUUACAGUGCCACUUCAAAUGUUAUCAAUAGUGACGUCUUCGGUGGAAUACAAGAUACAAACCCACCAGAAAAUACGUGCCAGUCUUGUUCGUCCCUUUCACUGGAGGC